CAGUCGCCGCGGUAAGACAGAGGAUGCAAGCGUUAUCCGGAAUGAUUGGGCGUAAAGCGUGCGUAGGCGGCUAAUUGAGUCGGAUGUGAAAUCCCCGAGCUUAACUUGGGAAUUGCAUUCGAUACUGGUUAGCUAGAGUGUGGGAGAGGAUGGUAGAAUUCCAGGUGUAGCGGUGAAAUGCGUAGAGAUCUGGAGGAAUACCGAUGGCGAAGGCAGCCAUCUGGCCUAACACUGACGCUGAGGUACGAAAGCAUGGGGAGCAAACAGGAUUAGAUACCCGUGUAGUCCCUGUCUCUUAUAC
rnacentral:rRNA from 1 species